rnacentral:rRNA from 1 species
CACGUAGGGUGCGAGCGUUGUCCGGAAUUAUUGGGCGUAAAGAGCUCGUAGGCGGUGUGUCGCGUCGGCCGUGAAAACCUGCAGCUUAACUGUGGGCUUGCGGUCGAUACGGGCAUCACUGGAGUUCGGCAGGGGAGACUGGAAUUCCUGGUGUAGCGGUGAAAUGCGCAGAUAUCAGGAGGAACACCCGUGGCGAAGGCGGCUCUCUGGGACGUGACUGGACGCUGAAGACGCGAAAGCCGUGGGGAGCGAACAGG